rnacentral:snRNA from 1 species
AUAGUUAGCUGGCAGCAGAGAUAACCUGAUCUUGAAGGGGCUUUCUCCAGGGCAAAGACUUGUCCACUGCCUACGCGUUGUGCUGAACUCCGUGAUUGCCUUACUAGUGGGAAGCUCGACUUCAGAAUUU